CAGCAGCCACGGGAAUACGGAGGGGGCUAGCGUUGUUCGGAAUUACUGGGCGUAAAGCGCACGUAGGCGGCUUGGUAAGUUAGAGGUGAAAGCCUGGAGCUCAACUCCAGAAUUGCCUUUAAGACUGCCGAGCUAGCAGGUGAGAGAGGUAAGUGGAAUUCCGAGUGUAGAGGUGAAAUUCGUAGAUAUUCGGAAGAACACCAGCGGCGAAGGCGGCUUACUGGCUCAUACUGGACGCUGAGGUGCGAAAGCGUGGGGAGCAAACAGGAUUAGAUACCCCCGUAGUCCCUGUCUCUUAUAC
rnacentral:rRNA from 1 species